rnacentral:rRNA from 1 species
GCCGCGAAUUCGCCCUUAGAGUUUGAUCAUGGCUCAGAAUGAACGCUGGCGGCGUGCUUAACACAUGCAAGUCGCACGAGAACUCUUUAAGCUUGCUUAAAGAUAGUAAAGUGGCGCACAGGUGAGUAACGCGUGGGCAAUCUACCUCCGAAUUGGGGAUAACUUCGCGAAAGCGGGGCUAAUACCGAAUAACAUUCUAAGAGCUUUGGCUUUUGGGAUCAAAGGUGGCCUCUACAUGUAAGCUACUGUUUGGAGAUGAGCCCGCGUACCAUUAGCUUGUUGGUAGGGUAAUGGCCUACCAAGGCGACGAUGGUUAGCUGGUCUGAGAGGAUGAUCAGCCACACUGGAACUGACACACGGUCCAGACUCCUACGGGAGGCAGCAGUGAGGAAUUUUGCGCAAUGGGGGAAACCCUGACGCAGCAACGCCGCGUGAGUGAUGAAGGCUUUCGAGUCGUAAAACUCUGUCAAGUGAGAAGAAUCUGUCCCGCGUUAAUACCGCGGGAUACUGACGGUAUCACUGAAGGAAGCACCGGCUAACUCCGUGCCAGCAGCCGCGGUAAUACGGGGGGUGCAAGCGUUAUUCGGAAUCAUUGGGCGUAAAGGGCGCGCAGGCGGUCUUUUAAGUCAGAUGUGAAAGCCCGGGGCUCAACCCCGGAAGUGCAUUUGAAACUGAGAGACUUGAGUAUGGGAGAGGGAAGUGGAAUUCCUGGUGUAGAGGUGAAAUUCGUAGAUAUCAGGAGGAACACCGGUGGCGAAGGCGACUUCCUG